rnacentral:lncRNA from 1 species
CCUGCGACAUAUGGAGGUUCCCAGGCUAGGGGUCUCUACAGCUCCCAUUCGACCCAUUAGCCUCGGAACCUUCAUAUGCUGCAGGUAUAGCCCUAGAAAAGACAAAAAGACAAAAAAAUUAAAAAAAAAAUUCUGGGAUCCUCAGCACAUGAUUUGGAAAUCCUCUCCCUUCCCAGUCCUCCAGGUGUGUUCCUUUUGAACAUCCUGGGCAUGUGCCCCUGGCAGAAUCUUUUCUUUGCUCUCAGAGCAAGAAGUCAAUGUUUCCCCGCUUAGCCUUGCUUUCCUUUGGAAGAUAAGCAGUGCAGUCCCCAGGGCCAUGGGGAAGCUACAGGCUGUGACCAGGCCCACAUGUGUCUGUAGAUUCUUCAACAGAGCUUCAGCAGGAUGGCAGAGCAGGCCCUCAAGUUCUCUGGCAUCCCUUUAAUAGCCUGGGAAUCCGCAGCAAGCACAGAUCCCUUUUUGGUGAGGAUUACCUCACAGCUGGCAUUUCCCAGCCCUGGGGACUGCAGAAGGAUAUUUAGAAGAACAGUCAUUACAUUCUGGCAGCGGCAGCGCACAGAUCAGCUUGGGUCCCCCAAGCCUGGGGCUUGGCACAGGCUGAUCAACACAAUAAUAACAGCGGCCCACUCCACAUGCGGGCCUCCCACGAGUGCACAGAAUCUCAAGGCAGAGGAGGAAAUUUUGCUAGUCAGAGAUCAAAAACUGCAAUGGCCACCAACACCUGCUCCUCCUGGGCUGAGCAGACACGAUCUUGGCCUUGACACUACCUGUCUACCACCUAGGUGGAGAAGUGUGUGGCUUCCUUAUCUUCUCAGGCGGUAAAUCAACUCAGGGCAAAAGGAGGCUAUGCGGAAGCAAAGGAGGAAAAACAACAAAUAAGCAGAAGAUUUAUUCCCAGGAAGGGAUGGGGGAAGGGGGGAGGCAGUGGGAGACACACCAGCUUCAGAGCUGAAGUCUUUUGGGUUCAAAGGCUGAUCUUUCUAAGACAUUUGGAGAAAAAAAUUAGACCUUAGAGUCAUAGACCCCUAGUAUAGACUUCCUUAUUUCCUCCUUUUGUAAAGAUUAACAUGCAAUGCUUAACUGGGAACUUGUCAAGCUAUUUCUGUUAGGAAAAGACAGUUUCACAAAUAAGUCUUUUCAAUAACUGCUUGUCCACUGCAUCGACACAAAAGUCAUCUGGGUUGGGUUUUAUAGAAGAGCUGAUUUUUAGAAUCAGGGUAUUUCUAGGAAAUGCAGAUACUUGAGGCAAUUGUCUGAAAGGCUCAUACAGAGUCUCUGUAAAGUUAAAGGUUAUGAAGAAAAUCAGUGGUUUGCCUUGCUUCUUUCUUCACGAUCCAUUUCAAGUUUUAGGAAAUAGAAGGGGGUAACAGUCUUGUCAUAGUCGAUUAAUCACCUCUGUAGACAGAGCAAAGAUUAUCACUGGGCACUUUCAAGGUGACAAAUUAGAGACUUUUUUAUUCCUCUAGAUGUGAUGUGAUAUAUCAUUAGACCUAGAAAAUAUCACCUGUGUAAGAGUGAAAAUAGUUCACACAGCACGGAAUUAACGCAGCAUGAGGUUGCAUGAUUCUAGGGCAAAUUCUAUUCGUCUCCCUUUGUUCGAAUGCACAAUGUGAAUUCCCACCUUCUCUGGUGCAGAUUAAUCCUGCCCAUAAAAUAACCUGGCAUUUUAUUGAGUGAUCAGGGCUGUACUGAUUUAUCCUGCCUGAAGGUCACACAGGGGAAGAAACACAAAAUAGAACUGCAAUUCCUUUCUGCUCAUCUGAUUUCAGCGAUGACCUGUCACGGAUGCCUGCUCGCACAAGAGCUUUCUGGAAGGCUGUCUAUCACUCUCCCAUGGAGUCUAUACUUCAGAGGAGCCUGGUGGUGACCAGACUUUGGGGCUACUUGGAUCUUAAAAUGGCAAAAUGCGGAAGAUGACUGACAGAGAAUUCAAGAGAAUUUUGGAAUAGUUUUCUUUAAAAAUAUCUUCAUUUUAAAAUACAGGUAACGCACCAUGCUUGUAGAACGGCUUGAAAACACAGGAAAGAAAAGAAGAAAUGAGAUAAUCAUCAUCUGUCCUGAUGCAGAUACUAAGCGGCAGCUACUGUAAUUAUUCUGGUGUAUUCCAGCAUUUGUGGGUAAGUGUGUGUAAAGCAAAAAAACUCAGUUACGUGUAUUUCCACUGCCUUACAGCAAAUUCGCCUCUAUUACAUGGACUAACGGGAAUGAAUUAGAUUUUUUAUUUGGUGAAGCUGAUGAGUUAAAAUACACCACAGCACGUAAAGAUCAAAGACAAAGUGAGAAGAGCCAGAAAACGUUUCACUUAAGUAUUUGAAUGCAAUGCAUGAUAACUAAGCCAAAGAAAAACUAUUUAUCUGCCCUGAAGAAUGUUAUUUAAAUCCUGGGCUCAUUCAUGCUAAACAGAGGCAACAUUUUCCAUUCACUUCUCCAAGGCUUCUCUUCGGCCUGGAAGCAACUCCCUUUUCUCCCCCUCUAGCAUUCCUAUUUAUGGGCUUAAUGCCCACAAUUGAGAAGGAUAAGUUUAGAAGGUAUUCAUUGCCAAAAUGAUGAUAUUUAAAUGGUAGGACAAUUUUAAACAAGGUGAUUUUUUUUUUAAGGUUGUGCC